CAGUAGCCGCGGGAAUACGAAGGGUGCAAGCGUUACUCGGAAUUACUGGGCGUAAAGCGUGCGUAGGUGGUGGUUUAAGUCCGUUGUGAAAGCCUUGGGCUCAACCUGGGAAUUGCAGUGGAUACUGGGUCACUAGAGUGUGGUAGAGGAUAGUGGAAUUUCCGGUGUAGCAGUGAAAUGCGUAGAGAUCGGAAGGAACAUCUGUGGCGAAGGCGACUAUCUGGGCCAACACUGACACUGAGGCACGAAAGCGUGGGGAGCAAACAGGAUUAGAUACCCCCGUAGUCCCUGUCUCUUAUAC
rnacentral:rRNA from 1 species